GAUGAACGCUAGCGGCAGGCUUAAUACAUGCAAGUCGAACGGGAUCCGAGGUAGCAAUACUUUGGUGAGAGUGGCGCACGGGUGCGUAACGCGUAUGCAACCUACCUUUAACAGGGGAAUAGCCCCGAGAAAUCGGGAUUAAUACUCCGUAACAUUGCGGGAUGGCAUCAUUCUGCAAUUAAAGAUUUAUCGGUUAAAGAUGGGCAUGCGUGACAUUAGCUUGUUGGUGAGGUAACGGCUCACCAAGGCAACGAUGUCUAGGGGUCCUGAGAGGGUUAUCCCCCACACUGGUACUGAGACACGGACCAGACUCCUACGGGAGGCAGCAGUAAGGAAUAUUGGUCAAUGGGCGCAAGCCUGAACCAGCCAUGCCGCGUGCAGGAAGACGGCCCUAUGGGUUGUAAACUGCUUUUGUCAGGGAAUAAACCUGUCUACGUGUAGACAGCUGAAGGUACCUGAAGAAUAAGCAUCGGCUAACUCCGUGCCAGCAGCCGCGGUAAU
rnacentral:rRNA from 1 species